GCUCCUGCUAUCUGUGAGAGCCAGUAACAUUAGAAAUUUAAAACUAAACUACACCCACUGUAAAUGCCCACAUUCUAUAAAAAGUGCUGUAUGACCCAUUUUCUUGGCCUUUCACAAGAUGGACACUGUCUGUGAGGGUCCCGGUCCGGUUUUCAUUGUGACUUUUAAGAAACCCAAAAUGAGGAAUACAAUG